UAAGCCUUUUAUUCAGACAAUAAUGAGUAAUGAGAUCCACACCCAGACACAUGGCAGGUUUAUGUGUUUCUUAUAUUUUUUCCGUACAUAUAUUCAGUGUAAAAUGAUAGUUUUGAGGGGCACUGUAUUACAAAAAAGUUUGUUUUCCUGAUAUUCAUUCAGCCGGAUCCCACAGGAAGCAUCAGUGUCUCAGUCUGUAUCAGAUUACCUGCUCAGGUAACAUGACUAGUCCAAAACCUGUGUGAGUUUCAGCCACUCAUAUUGCACAUAAACCUACAUGCAGAACAGGGGUCCAGUGAAGAAUGGCCGGGUCAGGUGUUGCCUUGAGGUUGCAUGAGUUUAAAGAAACACAAGACACCAAAACACAUCAACAAACACACAUGCAAGUGCAACAGCUCAGUCCUCAUCUUUAAACUUCAAAUCCAAUCAUGCAUGUUUGGAUCGUGUUUCUGUCUGAUCAUAGUUUACUGUGUGCAGUAUUAGAUUGUUUGUGUAUUUGUAUAAUGUAUUUCGGUUAUUCUGUGUAUGUCCAGUGCUCGGCGUCAGGGUCGAGACGUACAAGGACUGUAUCCAGGUCAGCUUGCGAGAGUUCACACCUUUAGCUCACACAUGUACAGGUCGACACAGGGGUUUUUGGAGCAUCACACGUGGCUGAAGGAAUCGAGUGCAGGAGAAAGUUACCAGAGAAGUUUUGAUCUUCUUGCCCUGCAGUCUUUGCUUGGCUGAUGACCCCAGAUUAGCACAUACAUCAAAGCAACACAACAAGCACCAGACGCCACACUCUUAAAAAUAAAGAUGCUUAGAAGAACAAUUUUAUUUUCUGGGUUCAACAGACUAUAAAAAGAUAAGAAAUGGUUCUUCUGUGGCAUCUUUGUGCAAUACCCAUCUUUAUUUUUUAUGAGUUAAGCAUUAUGAUGAACGUUUGUCAAAAUCAUUAUAGCAUCAAGUGUAUCAACCAAACACUUAUGGAUUUGGAAGAAGUUUGAUUUACAUCUGAUAAUAUUUUAAAAAUAAAAUGUCUAACGGUUUAUGACCUAAUGGCUUAUUCAUAAUAAAUCUGGUUGUGUUAUCCUUGUAGAUUCAUGUGCUCAUAUGUGACUGAUAAUGUCAUACAUGCCACAAAAUCACUUUACAUGCUUGUGUGUUUAAACAAACAUAAC